GAACACUUUGUCUGGGCUGCCUGGAACCUUGAUCCUUCUCACCUUAACCUCCUGAGAAGGUAAGAUUACAGGCAUACACUGUUCCAGACUAGGUAAAAAAAAUGUUUCUGUUAUUAAUAUUAAUGUUAACACAACAAUAGUAUCUGUAUUAGUAAUGGCUAACACAUAUAGCUCUAGGUGCCAUAGCUUAUUCUACUUAAUAGAUAAAAAUCCAGUUCUUCAAGCAAUGAAAAAGGUACUGACAUUACCACAGUCAAAUUGUAGGUAAGGCAGUUGAGGCAGAAAUGAAUGA